rnacentral:sRNA from 1 species
AAAAAAAUAAGGGAGAUUUGCAAAACUACCCUUUUUUUACUACCCUUUUGCAAUAAUACCUUUUUGUGUUGUCCAUUUUUAAAAAUACACAUUUCCUUGAACAGAAUGACCAAAUUACCCUCAUCCAAUAGGAACAUGUAAUAGGAACAAGUAAUAGGAAACUAAAAUUUUUCCGCCAAAUUUUUGGCGCCAAAAUUUAUUUUUCCCGCCAAAACAAAAUUUCCGCCAAAAUAAAAAA